rnacentral:rRNA from 1 species
GUAGGGAAUAUUGCGCAAUGGGGGAAACCCUGACGCAGCGACGCCGCGUGAGUGAUGAAGGCCUUCGGGUCGUAAAGCUCUGUUGCAGGGGAAUAAAAAAAUGAAGGUACCCUGUGAGGAAGGAUCGGCUAACUUCGUGCCAGCAGCCGCGGUAAGACGAGGGAUCCUAGCGUUGCUCGGAAUCAUUGGGCGUAAAGAGGGCGUAGGUGGCUUGGUAAGUCAGGUGUGAAAGCCCAGGGCUCAACCCUGGAAGUGCAUUUGAUACUGCUGAGCUUGAGUGUCGGAGAGGUUACCGGAAUACCUGGUGUAGUGGUGAAAUACGUAGAUAUCAGGUGGAACACUGGAGGCGAAGGCGGGUAACUGGACGAACACUGACACUGAGGCCCGAAAGCGUGGGGAUCAAACAGGAUUAGAUACCCCGGUAGUCC